AAUUAUAAAGGUCGUAAAGGCUCCCGACACACUCGAAAGAGUACCUGAGAUGAUGGAUACGCCGCCCAUCUUAUAAUU
rnacentral:ncRNA from 12 species